rnacentral:rRNA from 1 species
UGGGGAAUAUUGCACAAUGGGCGCAAGCCUGAUGCAGCCAUGCCGCGUGUGUGAAGAAGGCCUUCGGGUUGUAAAGCACUUUCAGCGGGGAGGAAGGCGGUGAGGUUAAUAACCUCAUCGAUUGACGUUACCCGCAGAAGAAGCACCGGCUAACUCCGUGCCAGCAGCCGCGGUAAUACGGAGGGUGCAAGCGUUAAUCGGAAUUACUGGGCGUAAAGCGCACGCAGGCGGUCUGUCAAGUCGGAUGUGAAAUCCCCGGGCUCAACCUGGGAACUGCAUUCGAAACUGGCAGGCUAGAGUCUUGUAGAGGGGGGUAGAAUUCCAGGUGUAGCGGUGAAAUGCGUAGAGAUCUGGAGGAAUACCGGUGGCGAAGGCGGCCCCCUGGACAAAGACUGACGCUCAGGUGCGAAAGUGUGGGGAGCAAACAGGAUUAGAUACCCUGGUAGUCCACGCCGUAAACGAUGUCGAUUUGGAGGUUGUGCCCUUGAGGCGUGGCUUCCGGAGCUAACGCGUUAAAUCGACCGCCUGGGGAGUACGGCCGCAAGGUUA